rnacentral:rRNA from 1 species
UGGGGAAUAAUGCACAAUGGGCGCAAGCCUGAUGCAGCCAUGCCGCGUGUAUGAAGAAGGCCUUCGGGUUGUAAAGUACUUUCAGCGGGGAGGAAGGGAGUAAAGUUAAUACCUUUGCUCAUUGACGUUACCCGCAGAAGAAGCACCGGCUAACUCCGUGCCAGCAGCCGCGGUAAUACGGAGGGUGCAAGCGUUAAUCGGAAUUACUGGGCGUAAAGCGCACGCAGGCGGUUGAUUGAGUCAGAUGUGAAAUCCCCGGGCUUAACCCGGGAAUUGCAUCUGAUACUGGUCAGCUAGAGUCUUGUAGAGGGGGGUAGAAUUCCAUGUGUAGCGGUGAAAUGCGUAGAGAUGUGGAGGAAUACCGGUGGCGAAGGCGGCCCCCUGGACAAAGACUGACGCUCAGGUGCGAAAGCGUGGGGAGCAAACAGG